UACGUAGGGUGCGAGCGUUACUCGGAAUUACUGGGCGUAAAGCGUGCGCAGGCGGUUCGUUAAGUCAGAUGUGAAAGCCCCGGGCUCAACCUGGGAAUGGCAUUUGGGACUGCAAGGCUCGAGUGCGGCAGAGGAGACUGGAAUUCCUGGUGUAGCAGUGAAAUGCGUAGAUAUCAGGAGGAACACCGAUGGCGAAGGCAGGUCUCUGGGCUGACACUGACGCUCAUGCACGAAAGCGUGGGGAGCAAACAGG
rnacentral:rRNA from 1 species